GUGUUCACUGUGGCAGCACACACACUAAAAUUGGAAUGAUACAGAAAAGAUUAGCACCGCCCUUUGCAAGAAAAACAUACAAAUUUGUAAAAAGUUCCUCUUUUUU